rnacentral:rRNA from 1 species
AUUGAACGCUGGCGGCAGGCUUAACACAUGCAAGUCGAGCGGGGUGAUGGUGCUUGCACUAUCACUUAGCGGCGGAGGGGUGAGUAAUGCUUAGGAAUCUGCCUAUUAGUGGGGGACAACAUCUCGAAAGGGAUGCUAAUACCGCAUACGUCCUACGAGAGAAAGCAGGGGAUCACUUGUGACCUUGCGCUAAUAGAUGAGCCUAAGUCGGAUUAGCUAGUUGGUGGGGUAAAGGCCUACCAAGGCGACGAUCUGUAGCGGGUCUGAGAGGAUGAUCCGCCACACUGGGACUGAGACACGGCCCAGACUCCUACGGGAGGCAGCAGUGGGGAAUAUUGGACAAUGGGGGGAACCCUGAUCCAGCCAUGCCGCGUGUGUGAAGAAGGCCUUAUGGUUGUAAAGCACUUUAAGCGGGGAGGAGGCUCUUUUGGUUAAUACCCAAGAUGAGUGGACGUUACUCGCAGAAUAAGCACCGGCUAACUCUGUGCCAGCAGCCGCCGUAA